GCUGAGUGAGGAGCAAGCAAGUUAGUGAAGAAGGAAACAAAGACCUGCGGAACCAUAAGAGGGUCAGUGAUCAAUUCCCCCGCCACAUUUGUAACUGAUAAAAUCCUAUUACGGAGCUCUCUCUUCUUGACCGAGAGGUGGAAAAAUCUUGUAUUACUAUCGCCUUCUUUAAGCCACCGAAUUCUGGACUUUUGCCUGUAGAAGGAUUCUUCAUC
rnacentral:lncRNA from 1 species